UACGGAGGGUGCAAGCGUUAAUCGGAAUUACUGGGCGUAAAGCGCACGCAGGCGGCUUUUUAAGUCAGAAGUGAAAGCCCAGGGCUCAACCUGAGAACUGCAUCUGAGACUGGCAAGCUUGAGUCUCGUAGAGGGGAGUAGAAUUCCAGGUGUAGCGGUGAAAUGCGUAGAGAUCUGGAGGAAUACCGGUGGCGAAGGCGGCCCCCUGGACGAAGACUGACGCUCAGGUGCGAAAGCGUGGGGAGCAAACAGG
rnacentral:rRNA from 1 species